UACAGAGGUCCCAAGCGUUGUUCGGAUUCACUGGGCGUAAAGGGUGCGUAGGUGGUGAGGUAAGUCGGAUGUGAAAUCUCCGAGCUCAACUCGGAAAUGGCAUUGGAAACUACCUUGCUCGAGGGUUGGAGGGGGGACUGGAAUGCUUGGUGUAGCAGUGAAAUGCGUAGAUAUCAAGUGGAACACCAGUGGCGAAGGCGAGUCCCUGGACAACUCCUGACACUGAGGCACGAAAGCUAGGGGAGCAAACAGG
rnacentral:rRNA from 1 species